rnacentral:rRNA from 1 species
CCUACGGGAGGCUGCAGUGAGGAAUAUUGGUCAAUGGCCGUAAGGCUGAACCAGCCAAGUCGCGUGAAGGAAGAAGGAUCUAUGGUUUGUAAACUUCUUUUAUAGGGGAAUAAAGGUAUCCACGUGUGGAUAUUUGCAUGUACCCUAUGAAUAAGCAUCGGCUAACUCCGUGCCAGCAGCCGCGGUAAUACGGAGGAUGCGAGCGUUAUCCGGAUUUAUUGGGUUUAAAGGGUGCGUAGGUUGUUUUUUAAGUCAGCGGUGAAAGUUUGGGGCUCAACCAUAAACUUGCCGUUGAAACUGGAAGGCUUGAGUUGGAUUGAGGUAGGCGGAAUGCGCGGUGUAGCGGUGAAAUGCAUAGAUAUCACGCAGAACUCCGAUUGCGAAGGCAGCUUACCAAGCCAAAACUGACACUGAAGCACGAAAGCGUGGGGAUCAAACAGGAUUAGAUACCCGGGUAGUC